rnacentral:rRNA from 1 species
GACGAACGCUGGCGGCGUGCUUAACACAUGCAAGUCGAACGGAAAGGCCCUGCUUUUGUGGGGUGCUCGAGUGGCGAACGGGUGAGUAACACGUGAGUAACCUGCCCUUGACUUUGGGAUAACUUCAGGAAACUGGGGCUAAUACCGGAUAGGAGCUCCUGCUGCAUGGUGGGGGUUGGAAAGUUUCGGCGGUUGGGGAUGGACUCGCGGCUUAUCAGCUUGCUGGUGGGGUAGUGGCUUACCAAGGCUUUGACGGGUAGCCGGCCUGAGAGGGUGACCGGCCACAUUGGGAGUGAGAUACGGCCCAGUCUGCUACGGGGGGCAGCAGUGGGGAAUAUUGAGCAAUGGGCGGGGGCCUGAUGCAACAGCGCCGCGUGCGGGAUGACGGCCUUCGGGUUAAGAACCGCUUUCGCCUGUGACGAAGCGUGAGUGACGGUAAUGGGUAAAGAAGCACCGGCUAACUACGUG